CCGAGUUAGGGUUUGAAACAACAGCCCGACCUCCAACCCUUUGUCUACCAAACCUCAUGUUGCUUCGGCGGGCCCGCCUACCGUGUCGGCCGCCGGGGGUCCUUCACACCGACCUCUGGCCCGCGCCCGCCGACGGCCAAACCCAUUAAACUCUUGAUUAAACCAUGUCGUCUGAUUUUAUUGAAACAAAAUAACCAA
rnacentral:misc_RNA from 1 species